rnacentral:rRNA from 1 species
UACGUAGGGGGCAAGCGUUGUCCGGGUUUAUUGGGAGUAAAGAGCGUGUAGGCGGCCAGGUAGGUCUGCUGUGAAAACUCGAGGCUCAACCUCGAGACGUCGGCGGAAACCAUCUGGCUAGAGUCCGGAAGAGGAGAGUGGAAUUCCUGGUGUAGAGGUGAAAUUCGUAGAUAUUCGGAAGAACACCAGUGGCGAAGGCGGCGAUCUGGGUAGAUACUGACGCUGAGGUGCGAAAGCGUGGGGAGCAAACAGG